GAUGAACGCUAGCUACAGGCUUAACACAUGCAAGUCGAGGGGAAACGAUAUUGGAAGCUUGCUUCCGAUAGGCGUCGACCGGCGCACGGGUGAGUAACGCGUAUCCAACCUGCCCAUCACUUGGGGAUAACCUUGCGAAAGUAAGACUAAUACCCAAUGAUAUCUCUAGAAGACAUCUGAAAGAGAUUAAAGAUUUAUCGGUGAUGGAUGGGGAUGCGUCUGAUUAGCUUGUUGGCGGGGUAACGGCCCACCAAGGCGACGAUCAGUAGGGUUCUGAGAGGAAGGUCCCCCACAUUGGAACUGAGACACGGUCCAAACUCCUACGGGAGGCAGCAGUGAGGAAUAUUGGUCAAUGGGCGAGAGCCUGAACCAGCCAAGUAGCGUGCAGGAUGACGGCCCUAUGGGUUGUAAACUGCUUUAUAAGGGAAUAAAGUGAGUCUCGUGAGACUUUUGCAUGUACCUUAUGAAUAAGGACCGGCUAAUUCCGUGCCAGCAGCCGCGGUAA
rnacentral:rRNA from 1 species